rnacentral:rRNA from 1 species
UACGUAGGGUGCGAGCGUUGUCCGGAAUUACUGGGCGUAAAGAGCGCGCAGGCGGUCGUUCAAGUCGCGUGUGAAAGCCCCCGGCUCAACUGGGGAGGGUCACGCGAUACUGAUCGACUGGAAGGCAGGAGAGGGUAGUGGAAUUCCCGGUGUAGUGGUGAAAUGCGUAGAUAUCGGGAGGAACACCAGUGGCGAAGGCGACUACCUGGCCUGUUCUUGACGCUGAGGCGCGAAAGCUAGGGGAGCAAACGGG